UGAGUUUUUUCACUUGGGGAAACUAACAAUUAUAUAUGGAAGAACAUGUGAUGUCUUGCUGCUGAACCGUUAAUAAACUUGGUUAUGAGAUGGGGACUAGCAGGUGCCUGUUGUCACUGGAGAUCUUGAAAAUGCUUGCAC